UAACAAUGAUUUCCCUAGUAACGGCGAGUGAAGAGGAAAGAGCUCAAAGUUGGAACCUGUUUGGCUUAGCUAAACCGGAUUGUAAACUGUAGAAGUGUUUUCCAGACACGCCUGGUAAAAAAGUCCUUUGGAACAGGGCAUCAUAGAGGGUGAGAAUCCCGUCUUUGGCCAGAGCUGUUGUCUUUUGUGAUACAUUUUCAAAGAGUCAGGUUGUUUGGGAAUGCAGCCUAAAUUGGGUGGUAAAUCUCACCUAAAGCUAAAUAUUUGCGAGAGACCGAUAGCGAACAAGUACCGUGAGGGAAAGAUGAAAAGAACUUUGAAAAGAGAGUUAAACAGUAUGUGAAAUUGUUAAAAGGGAACCGUUUGGAGCCAGACUGGCUUGACUGUAAUCAAUCUAGGCUUCGGCCUGGAUGCACUUGCGGUUUAUGCCUGCCAACGACAAUUUUCUUUGAGGGAAAAAACUAUUAGGAAUGUGGCCCCCCUCGGGGGGUGUUAUAGCCUUUUAGAAAAUACCUUGAAUUGGAUUGAGGAACGCAGUGAAUGCCUUUAGGCAAGAUUGCUGGGCGCUUUCGCUAAUAAAUGCUAGAAUUUCUGCUUCGGGUGGUGCUAGUGUUUAAAGGAGAAACUCGUCUGGUAUAUUUUUUAUUCGCUUAGGUUGUUGGCUUAAUGACUCUAAAUGAC
rnacentral:rRNA from 1 species